rnacentral:rRNA from 1 species
GAAGUCGCCGGCAUCACAGCUGAACUCUGAAUAUUCAUCCACCCCCCGCCCACAGGCCCAUAAAAAAACUCGUCGGCGUCGGCGGCCUCACAUCAAACCGCGCUCAAUCUCAAUCUCACCGUGGACUCGCCGCCAAACACGAACUGGCAGGCGGCAGGUGCCCAGCCACGCUAGCCAGAUCCUCCUGCAAAGAACAGAAAUCCCCCGGUUAUUUCCCACUCCGCUCCACUCGUCCGAACCACGCCGCGCUAGCCAGCUGCAUCUUCAGCCGGCAUGGCCCGCCUCGGCCUCCGGCGCUUUCCGCCGCUGAUGCUCCUCCUCCUACUCCUCUUCACCCUCGUCGUCGCGGAGGUGGCGGCGGGGAAGGGGAAGAAGAGGGGCGACGGCGGCGGCGGGCUGCGGUUCCGGCGGGAGGGCGGCACGUUCAAGGUGCUGCAGGUGGCGGACAUGCACUACGCGGACGGGCGGAGCACCGGGUGCGAGGACGUGCUGCCCGAGCAGGUCGCCGGCUGCUCCGACCUCAACACCACCGCCUUCCUCUACCGCGUCAUCCGCGCCGAGGACCCCGACCUCGUCGUCUUCACAGGUCCGACCCCCACCCACCCAUCCUCCUCCUCUUCCCCUGCUGUCUGUUAAUACAACUUCGAUUAAGAAAUCCGAAGCAGAAGCUGCACUGAAAUUGGGUCGGGGAAAUUGAAAUUCUGACCAUGCCCAAUCGCUCAUCCGGUGAAAUGGUCUGAUUGAUUGGUCUGUCCAUCCAGGACGGAGAUGAAAUGGUCUGCGUCCACAUGGAGCUAAAACCCAACUAGGAAAGAUACAAAUGUAGCUGCCUUUGUGAUUAUCUUCAGGUUACUGCCCUGUUUUCAUGGUGAUGUUUCCAAGGCUGCAAUUUUGGCAACCGGCGUCUUAUUUCAAUUAUGGUAAAAAAGCCGAUCAGGCGAACACAACACGCAUCACACUCCUAGCGGAUUGUGUUGCUGUUAGAAAAAGGGUUGUGAUGGUGGGUGGUUGUGCAUAGAUAAGUUUGCUUUCAAUCAAAGCAGGGCCGUCAAAAGACUUUAUUCUAAAAGAAUUGUGCAUAGAUGAUUUCUUUGGCAGGCGAUAACAUUUUUGGCGCGGAUUCAACCGACGCGGCCAAGUCGAUGGACGCGGCCAUCGCUCCGGCCAUCACCAUGAACCUUCGCUGGGCUGCUGUGCUCGGUAACCAUGACCAGGAGGGCACCCUGUCGCGGGAGGGUGUGAUGCGCCACCUUGUAGGCAUGAAGAACACCCUGUCACGCUUCAACCCUGAAGGAGUAGAGAUCGACGGCUUCGGAAAUUAUAACCUCGAAGUUGGUGGGGUUGAAGGAACACUGCUGGCUAACAAAUCAGUGCUCAACCUUUAUUUUCUCGACAGUGGUGACCGUUCUACUGUAUGGUGGAUCCCUGGUUAUGGUUGGAUCAAGGCUUCACAGCAAGCUUGGUUCAAGCAAACCUCUUUGAGUCUGCAGAAAAACUACAGGAAUGAAGAACCUAGACAGAAGGAGCCGGCACCUGCUCUUGCAUACUUCCACAUUCCAUUGCCGGAGUUCAGCAGUUUCACAGCAUCCGAUUUCACAGGAGUGAAGCAGGAGAGUAUCAGCUCGCCAUCAAUCAACUCCGGUUUCUUUACCACGAUGGUGGAAGCCGGAGAUGUGAAGGCUGCCUUCAUAGGACAUGAUCACAUAAAUGACUUCUGCGGGAAGCUCACCGGUAUUCAGCUCUGCUAUGCCGGUGGCUUGGGUUACCACGCGUAUGGGAAGGCCGGGUGGUCGAGGAGAGCAAGAGUGGUGUCUGUGCAGCUUGAGAAGACAGUGAGCGGCGAGUGGCAAGGCGUGAAAUCUAUCAAGACAUGGAAGAGGCUUGAUGACCAACAUCUGACCACGAUUGACUCCGAGGUUCUUUGGAACAGAGGCUCUAAUGGUAAGACACUCACACAUGCAUGAGCAUGGUGCUAUGGAACAUAGGCUUGAUAAGAGUACUAGUAUAAGACAGAGUGAACAUGAUAAUAACAUGGUCCACUCUCUUGUGGUAUUACUCCCUCCGUUCCUAAAUAUAAGUCUUUUCAGAGAUUUCAAUACAGACUACAUACAGAGCAAAAUCAGUGAAUCUACACCCUAAAAUAUGUCUAUAUACAUCCGAAUGUAGUCUGUAUUGAAAUCUCUACAGACUUGUAUUUAGAAAUGGAGUAGAUAAUGGUAGUAUGAAAUUACUAUACUGAUCGAAGGGGCGUAUGUUUUCAGAACCACAAGUUAUCUAAGUGUUGCUGAUUGUCAGGGAGGCGCAGGAAGGAUCAUGACAGAAGCUGAGUUCAGGCUUGGGGACAGCGAGUGAGUGAUGCGUCCUACCUCUGCUCAUCAUGUGUGCUGUUGGUGCUUACUGCUUAGCUUAUUACGAAAGUUCGCAACCGUGUAAAUGAAAACAGAUGGUGCGCCUCAUGUAUACGCAGGUUCGUAGCAUUGUAAUUGUUCGCAUAGAGAAAGAAAAAGGUGAACCAUUAUUUGAAAAAAAAAUUGAGCGGGUGAACAAUGAUUUGAUGUAGUAUCAAAUGUCACUCUCUGCAAAUGGGCUUGGAUGUCGAAAGAAAAUUUGUGCACUGCGGGCUUAGUAAAUGCAAAUUGAUGCACUACCUCGCAAAAGAAAGAAAAAAUUGAUGCACUGAUGCAUAGAUGAGUUGUAAC